AUCGGAGAUAACAAAUUGUAAGUCCUCUACCGAGGCUAUGAUUUAACCAAGGAAAUAGCCAACAGUAUGAUGUCAGAAAUGUCUGACAUUACUAAAAUGACGCUACUAGAAAUAUACGGUUUACUCCUGGUUUGCCCACUCUUAAUUCUACCAAUUAUCUAAUGGCAAAGAACACAAAAAAAAAAGACAAAAGGUUUAAUGAGCAUACAUAGAC
rnacentral:lncRNA from 1 species